rnacentral:rRNA from 1 species
GAUGAACGCUGGCGGCGUGCCUAAUACAUGCAAGUCGAGCGAAGCGGGGACGGGUGAGUAAACCGUGGAUAACCUCCUAUAAGACUGGGAUAACUACGGGAAACCGGAGCUAAACCGGAUCCUUAUAGGUGGAUCCGCGCUGCAUUAGCGAGUUGGUAGGGGAACGGCUUACCAAGGCAACGAUGCAUAGCCGACCGGAGAGGGUGAUCGGCCACACUGGAACUGAGACACGGUCCAGACUCCUACGGGAGGCAGCAGUGGGGAAUCUUCCGCAAUGGGCGAAAGCCUGACGGAGCAACGCCGCGUGAGUGAUGAAGGUCUUCGGAUCGUAAAGCUCUGUUAUUAGGGAAGCGGUAUCUAACCAGAAAGCCACGGCUAACUACGUGCCAGCAGCCGCGGUAAUAC